GUCUACCAUAGCAUCUGACUGAAUCUGAAGCUGUUGGGGAAAGUAACAACCUAACCUGGGUGCUGUACCAAACAAAAUCUCAUAAGGUGAUAGGCUAUAUUUUCCCCUAGGAGUGUACCUUACACUAAACAACGCUAAUGGGAGACUCUCAGGCCAGGGCAUGUUAGUUUCUUGUGACAUUUUAAGCAUUCUGGCUUUCAAAGUGCCAUUCAUGCGCUCUACCUUACCACUACUCUGUGGGUGAUAUGGUG